AUUGAACGCUGGCGGCAGGCUUGACACAUGCAAGUCGAGCGGAGAUGAGGUGCUUGCACCUUAUCUUAGCGGCGGACGGGUGAGUAAUGCUUAGGAAUCUGCCUAUUAGUGGGGGACAACAUUCCGAAAGGAAUGCUAAUACCGCAUACGUCCUACGGGAGAAAGCAGGGGAUCUUCGGACCUUGCGCUAAUAGACGAGCCUAAGUCGGAUUAGCUAGUUGGUGGGGUAAAGGCCUACCAAGGCGACGAUCUGUAGCGGGUCUGAGAGGAUGAUCCGCCACACUGGGACUGAGACACGGCCCAGACUCCUACGGGAGGCAGCAGUGGGGAAUAUUGGACAAUGGGGGGAACCCUGAUCCAGCCAUGCCGCGUGUGUGAAGAAGGCCUUAUGGUUGUAAAGCACUUUAAGCGAGGAGGAGGCUACUGGGACUAAUACUCUUGGAUAGUGGACGUUACUCGCAGAAUAAGCACCGGCUAACUCUGUGCCAGCCGCCGCAGUAA
rnacentral:rRNA from 1 species